UGGGGAAUAUUGGACAAUGGGGGAAACCCUGAUCCAGCGACGCCGCGUGUGUGAAGAAGGCCUGCGGGUUGUAAAGCACUUUUAGUGGGGAUGAAAUGUGCAGGGCUAACACCUCUGCAUUUUGACCUAACCCACAGAAAAAGCACCGGCUAACUCUGUGCCAGCAGCCGCGGUAAUACAGAGGGUGCAAGCGUUAAUCGGAAUUACUGGGCGUAAAGCGUGCGUAGACGGUUACAUAAGUCGGGUGUGAAAGCCCCGGGCUCAACCUGGGAAUUGCAUUCGAGACUGCGUAGCUAGGGUGCGGAAGAGGGAAGCGGAAUUUCCGGUGUAGCGGUGAAAUGCGUAGAUAUCGGAAGGAACACCAGUGGCGAAAGCGGCUUCCUGGUCCAGCACCGACGUUCACGCACGAAAGCGUGGGGAGCAAACA
rnacentral:rRNA from 1 species